rnacentral:rRNA from 1 species
ACCAACCCGAUGCAAACUGCGAAUACCGGAGAAUGUUAUCACGGGAGACACACGGCGGGUGCUAACGUCCGUCGUGAAGAGGGAAACAACCCAGACCGCCAGCUAAGGUCCCAAAGUCAUGGUUAAGUGGGAAACGAUGUGGGAAGGCCCAGACAGCCAGGAUGUUGGCUUAGAAGCAGCCAUCAUUUAAAGAAAGCGUAAUAGCUCACUGGUCGAGUCGGCCUGCGCGGAAGAUGUAACGGGGCUAAACCAU